rnacentral:misc_RNA from 1 species
UCUCCGUAGGUGAACCUGCGGAGGGAUCAUUACCGAGUUAGGGUCCUCUGGGCCCGACCUCCCAACCCUUUGUCGUUACCACCUCAAGUUGCUUCGGCGGGCCCUGCCUCGAGAGAGGCACGCUGGAGGGGCGUGAAACCCCUUCUGGUCAGUUGCCCGUCGGUAGCCCCAACCACAAAAUUCUGAAGUAAACGUGUCUUCUGAGUAACCAAAAAAAUAAAGUAAAAACUUUCAACAACGGAUCUCUUGGUUCUGGCAUCGAUGAAGAACGCAGC